rnacentral:rRNA from 1 species
GUAGGGAAUAUUGGGCAAUGGUCGGAAGACUGACCCAGCCAUGCCGCGUGCAGGAAGACGGCCCUCUGGGUUGUAAACUGCUUUUAUCUGGGAAGAAAAAGGCCAUGCGUGGCAAAUUGCCGGUACCAGAUGAAUAAGCACCGGCUAACUCCGUGCCAGCAGCCGCGGUAAUACGGAGGGUGCGAGCGUUGUCCGGAUUUAUUGGGUUUAAAGGGUGCGUAGGCAGCUGAUUAAGUCAGCGGUGAAAGACUUCGGCUUAACCGGGGCAGUGCCGUUGAUACUGGUUGGCUUGAGGGUCGGAGGGGUACAUGGAAUUGAUGGUGUAGCGGUGAAAUGCAUAGAUACCAUCAGGAACACCGAUAGCGAAGGCAUUGUACUGGCCGACAACUGACGCUGAUGCACGAAAGUGUGGGGAUCGAACAGGAUUAGAAACCCCUGUAGUCC